ACCUGUUCCUCUGAUUUGCUGAAUAAGGGACAUUACACAUCUGGAGUGCCUCUGGUGAUGUCCUCUUCUUCUGUUUGGAAAUUGUGCUCCAGUGGAAACAGGAAUCUCACCACUGAAAGAGGAAACUUUACAAUUAAAGGCACUGGAGUCGACCAACUAACUCUCUUGACACCUUAACGAUGCAUUAAAUUCCCAGUAACUAAUGCAAAUGGUUUAUAAUUUCCUAACAUUCAUUAAAACUGUAAUAAAGGCAA